CCCUUAGAUGUUCUGGGCCGCACGCGCGCUACACUGACGAAUGCAACGAGCUUAUAACCUUGGCCGAAAGGUCUGGGUAAUCUCCAAAUUUCGUCGUGAUGGGGAUAGAUUAUUGCAAUUAUUAAUCUUCAACGAGGAGUGCCUAGUAAGCGCAAGUCAUCAGCUUGCGUUGAUUACGUCCCUGCCCUUUGUACACACCGCCCGUCGCUCCUACCGAUUGAAUGGUCCGGUGAAGCGUUCGGACCGUGGCCUUUGGACGGUUCGCCGUCUGUUGGCUGCGGGAAGUUCGUUAAACCUUAUCAUUUAGAGGAAGGAGAANUCGUANCA
rnacentral:rRNA from 1 species